GUUCUUUCUCACUUUGGCAUCACAUCUACUAAAUUGAAAAGAUACAGAAAUGAUUGGCGGGGCCCGUGUGCAAGGAUUACAUACAAAUUCAUAAAGCGUCAAAAUUACUG